rnacentral:misc_RNA from 1 species
CCGUAAGAUAACUUAGGGUUUUGAGACUGUGUUCCAAAAUGGGACGCGUGCUCGACUCUUAUUCUUUAUCCACACACACCUGUGCACUAUGGGAUUGUAAAGUCCCCUUUUUCAUUACAAAAACCUGAGUUAUAAUGCAUGUCUAUUGUAUACUCUACGGAGUAAUAUA